rnacentral:misc_RNA from 1 species
AGAAAGAGUGUCCACGGAACUCACGGAAAACACGGAAAAAUCCGGAUUUUUCCGUGUUUUCCGUGAGUUCCGUGAGUUCCGUGG